rnacentral:rRNA from 1 species
UAACAAAGAAGAAGCGAGACGGAGACGUUAAGCGAAACCCAAAAAAGUAAGUCUCAGUUCGGAUUGAAGGCUGAAAUUCGCCUUCAUGAAGCCGGAAUUGCUAGUAAUGGCAGGUCAGCAUACUGCCGUGAAUACGUUCCCGGGCCUUGUACACACCGCCCGUCACACCAUGAGAGUUGGGAAUACCCGAAGCCUGUGAGCUAACUUUAAGAGGCAGCAGUCGAAGGUAGAAUCAAUGAUUGGGGUGAAGUCGUAACAAGGUAGC